rnacentral:misc_RNA from 1 species
GAACGAACACAUUGUCCCCCCCCCUCGGUGGGUCGUGGCGCCUCGCGGCGUCGCGGCCGGCCGGCUCCCUUCGUCACGAGCUUCGUCACGUCACGAGCUCGGGGCGUGGGGUUCCCACGAUGCGCCCACCUUGACCAAAUGACUGAGUCCCGAACGCUUGGAUUUUGUAGGAGCGUUGCGUUUCGUCCCCUAAACCGCUUGCGAAGGGGUCGGGGCGCGCGCUGGUUACCUUAUGAUGACGAGUUGUGGAACGUAACCAAAAACAACUCUCAGCAACGGAUAUCUUGGCUCUUGCAACGAUGAAGAACGCAGCGAAAUGCGAUACGUAUUGUGAAUUGCAGAAUUCCGCGAAUCAUCGAGUCUUUGAACGCAAGUUGCGCCCGAGGCUUGUCCAAGGGCAUUUCCGCUAGAGCGUCACCGCGCCCCCCACCGAUCCACCCUCGCUGAGAGUCGGGUCGAGUGGAAGUGGCCGUCCCGGUCUCGGCCUUCGCCGAGUGAAGGGUCGGCUGAAAUGGAGGGAAUUGGGCCGCCGUGGUGACACAGUCCGCGAUCGGGUGAUUUUACGUGAGCCCCCCCACCCCAGCCUUGGCGGGGAGGAGGGGAGUCGUGAGUUUUUCUAAGUGCGUGGCUGUGUCCCCCAGUCGGUUUUGGGUUACCUCAUGCAGGUCAUGCUGUGCGUCACGCA